rnacentral:rRNA from 1 species
GACGAACGCUGGCGGCGUGCUUAACACAUGCAAGUCGAACGGAAAGGCCCUGCUUGCAGGGUACUCGAGUGGCGAACGGGUGAGUAACACGUGGGUGAUCUGCCCUGCACUUCGGGUUAAGCCUGGGAAACUGGGUCGAAUACCGGAUAGAAGCCAUUUUUAUGGUGAUGGUUGAAAGGUUUUUUCGGUGUGAGAUGAGCUCGCGGCCUAUCAGCUUGUUGGUGGGGUAAGGGCUUACCAAGGCGGCGACGGGUAGCCGGCCUGAGAGGGUGGACGGCCACAUUGGGACUGAGAGACGGCGCAGACUCCUACGGGAGGCAGCAGUGGGGAAUAUUGCACAAUGGGCGCAAGCCUGAUGCAGCGACGCCGCGUGGGGGAUGACGGCCUUCGGGUUGUAAACUCCUUUCGCUAGGGACGAAGCUUUUGUGACGGUACCUAGAUAAGAAGCACCGGCUAACUACGUG